rnacentral:rRNA from 1 species
UACGUAGGGUGCAAGCGUUGUCCGGAAUUAUUGGGCGUAAAGGGCUCGUAGGCGGUUUGUCGCGUCGGGAGUGAAAUCCACUGGCUUAACUGGUGGCUUGCUUUCGAUACGGGCAGACUGGAGGUAUGCAGGGGAGAACGGAAUUCCUGGUGUAGCGGUGAAAUGCGCAGAUAUCAGGAGGAACACCGGUGGCGAAGGCGGUUCUCUGGGGCAACUACUGACGCUGAGGAGCGAAAGCGUGGGGAGCGAACAGG